AUGGCUGGCAGAGCAACCUCGUCCGACGACCCUGACGACGGCUGUACGAUUGAAGAGAAGAGCGGCGGCGCGGAAGCGGUGGCGGCGGCGGCGUCGUCGUCGAUGCCUCUGCCUCUGCCUCUGCCUCCGCGCCGGCCCAGAGUAGCCUUCCUCGCCAGCGGGGGUCCCGCGGACGGCGUACGACGCGCCGACGUCAUGGAGUACUACACGCAUCGCGAUGGAUCCAUCUACAGAUGCACUGAUUACUUGUCCAAACUUUACCGUGUCCGCGAUACCAGCGAGACUAGGAUGGAGCCAAUGAUGAGGUCGGAGCCAUCAGACUCUUGCUCGCCGAACUGGAGGGCUUGUGAAAGACAUACCCAUUGCACCAUGAUGCAAAUAUUUUCGCUCAAGCUGGCAUAUCCUCCUUGUGAUGGUGACCCAGUUCAGGUGUACGGAUUCAUGGCUGUCCGUGACACUCGGGACCAUCUUCGUAACUACAUCUUCAACCGCACAAGAGACGACCCUUUCAUCGUGGAACACGAGGACGGAUUUAUACAGUUGUCCGGAUCCAAGAGAGGCAUCUGGUGGUAUGACAAGCAGCUGGUUGAGUUCGACAUGAGGAUCAAGAGAGAGGAGGACGAAGCAGACGAUCUGCAGCUCGUCGAUGGCGGCGUCUGGUUCUACGACGGCUGCUCGCCACACGCCAGAGUGCUCACGCAACGCAUCGACGGUGACUAUGGCUCGGUGGACAUAAGCUACGCGCUCCUGCAGCUAGCGAUGGAGGCCACGGUGCAGAUUGCGGUGUCGGAGCUGGACAGAGACAUAAGCCUUGCUUGUCAGAGCGUUUUACGUCAGUGA
rnacentral:rRNA from 1 species